rnacentral:rRNA from 1 species
CUACGGGCGGCACCAGUAGGGAAUUUUCCACAAUGGGCGAAAGCCUGAUGGAGCAACGCCGCGUGCAGGAUGAAUGCCUUCGGGUUGUAAACUGCUUUUAUUGGUGACGAUUAUGACGGUAGCCAAUGAAUAAGGACCUGCUAACUACGUGCCAGCAGCCGCGGUCAUACGUAGGGUCCAAGCGUUAUCCGGAAUUACUGGGCGUAAAGAGUUGCGUAGGUGGCAUGAAAAGCGAAUAGUGAAAGCGUGUGGCUCAACCAUACAUCCAUUAUUUGAACUCCCAAGCUAGAGGACGAGAGAGGUAGAUGGAAUUCCUAAUGUAGGGGUAAUAUCCGUAGAUAUUAGGAGGAACACCGAUGGCGUAGGCAGUCUACUGGCUCGUUUCUGACACUAAGGCACGAAAGCGUGGGGAGCAAACAGGAUUAGAUACCCUUGUAGUC